GGGGGGACAAAUGAGGGGGAGGAGAAACCGUAGAAUGCACUCAACAUACAACAGGUGGGCUGAGUGCUUCAUUUUAAGCUAAGUAGAUCUCCAAGAGCACAGAGAGCUCGUCCCCAGGGUCCCGCAGCACCUUCAGGCAAGUACAAUUAGGCAAAGACCUCGGAAAACCCCUGGAGGGUUUCAAAACUUACCCCCUCCCUCAGACUCCAACCUGCUAAUCUAAUGCUAAUCUUUGCUCAGAAACUACAGGUAUUUUAACACCAACUAAUUAGGUUUGCUAGUUCUCCGGGCGUAGGC
rnacentral:lncRNA from 1 species